rnacentral:rRNA from 1 species
AGAGUUUGAUCCUGGCUCAGAUUGAACGCUGGCGGCAUGCCUAACACAUGCAAGUCGAACGGUAACGCGGGGGCAACCCUGGCGACGAGUGGCGGACGGGUGAGUAAUACGUAGGAAUCUGCCCAUUUGUGGGGGAUAACCCGGCGAAAGCCGGGCUAAUACCGCAUACGCUCUACGGAGGAAAGCGGGGGAUCGAAAGACCUCGCGCUAAUGGAUGAGCCUACGUCGGAUUAGCUAGUUGGUAGGGUAAAGGCCUACCAAGGCGACGAUCCGUAGCUGGUCUGAGAGGACGAUCAGCCACACUGGGACUGAGACACGGCCCAGACUCCUACGGGAGGCAGCAGUGGGGAAUAUUGGACAAUGGGGGCAACCCUGAUCCAGCAAUGCCGCGUGUGUGAAGAAGGCCUGCGGGUUGUAAAGCACUUUCAGAGGGGAAGAAAAAAUCGGGGCUAAUACCUCCGAUCUUGACGUUACCCUUAGAAGAAGCACCGGCUAACUCCGUGCCAGCCGCCGCGGUAAUAC